ACCUGGUGGAGCUGCUGCGUGAGUGACGCUCGGCUGCCUCUCUGCAUGUCCAGGACUGGAAGUGGUGGUGACACCCGUGUCCUGGCCCCCUCCAGCGGCAUGAGGAGAUGAUCAUCCCUGGAGGACCCCCCUGAUCCCCUGGGUGCCCUGGCAAUUUCCCUGCAAGAAUCAAUAAACCCCUGCAGCAAAACAAA